UACGUAGGAGGCGAGCGUUGUCCGGAUUCAUUGGGCGUAAAGAGCUCGUAGGCGGUCUGUCGCGUCGGAUGUGAAAAUCCAGGGCUCAACCCUGGACCUGCAUUCGAUACGGGCAGACUAGAGUUCGGUAGGGGAGACUGGAAUUCCUGGUGUAGCGGUGAAAUGCGCAGAUAUCAGGAGGAACACCGGUGGCGAAGGCGGGUCUCUGGGCCGAAACUGACGCUGAGGAGCGAAAGCGUGGGGAGCAAACAGG
rnacentral:rRNA from 1 species